AGAGUUUGAUCCUGGCUCAGAUUGAACGCUGGCGGCAUGCUUUACACAUGCAAGUCGAACGGCAGCACGGGCUUCGGCCUGGUGGCGAGUGGCGAACGGGUGAGUAAUGCAUCGGAACGUACCCAUUUGUGGGGGAUAACUACGCGAAAGCGUGGCUAAUACCGCAUACGCCCUGAGGGGGAAAGCGGGGGAUUCUUCGGAACCUCGCACAAAUGGAGCGGCCGAUGUCAGAUUAGCUUGUUGGUGAGGUAAAGGCUCACCAAGGCGACGAUCUGUAGCGGGUCUGAGAGGAUGAUCCGCCACACUGGGACUGAGACACGGCCCAGACUCCUACGGGAGGCAGCAGUGGGGAAUUUUGGACAAUGGGGGCAACCCUGAUCCAGCCAUGCCGCGUGAGUGAAGAAGGCCUUCGGGUUGUAAAGCUCUUUCAGCCGGGAAGAAAGCGCACUCUCUAACAUAGGGUGUGGAUGACGGUACCGGAAGAAGAAGCACCGGCUAACUACGUGCCAGCAGCCGCGGUAAUA
rnacentral:rRNA from 1 species